UACAUGCAAGUCGAACGAACUUCCGUUAAUUGAUUAUGACGUACUUGUACUGAUUGAGAUUUUAACACGAAGUGAGUGGCGAACGGGUGAGUAACACGUGGGUAACCUGCCCAGAAGUAGGGGAUAACACCUGGAAACAGAUGCUAAUACCGUAUAACAGAGAAAACCGCAUGGUUUUCUUUUAAAAGAUGGCUCUGCUAUCACUUCUGGAUGGACCCGCGGCGUAUUAGCUAGUUGGUGAGGUAAAGGCUCACCAAGGCAGUGAUACGUAGCCGACCUGAGAGGGUAAUCGGCCACAUUGGGACUGAGACACGGCCCAGACUCCUACGGGAGGCAGCAGUAGGGAAUCUUCCACAAUGGACGCAAGUCUGAUGGAGCAACGCCGCGUGAGUGAAGAAGGGUUUCGGCUCGUAAAGCUCUGUUGUUAAAGAAGAACGUGGGUAAGAGUAACUGUUUACCCAGUGACGGUAUUUAACCAGAAAGCCACGGCUAACUACGUGCCAGCAGCCGCGGUAAUACGUAGGUGGCAAGCGUUAUCCGGAUUUAUUGGGCGUAAAGCGAGCGCAGGCGGUCUUUUAAGUCUAAUGUGAAAGCCUUCGGCUCAACCGAAGAAGUGCAUUGGAAACUGGGAGACUUGAGUGCAGAAGAGGACAGUGGAACUCCAUGUGUAGCGGUGAAAUGCGUAGAUAUAUGGAAGAACACCAGUGGCGAAGGCGGCUGUCUGGUCUGCAACUGACGCUGAGGCU
rnacentral:rRNA from 1 species